CCGAGUGCCUUUCUCAGAAUAUCGUCUGAAUCUAAAACGUUACGCGGCAAUCGUUAAUCGACCAUUGCACUUAAAAAAUAAAAUUGUCCUCUUUCAAGUGGUAUUAUUAGUAUUAUUGCAACUUCGUUCUUAUUUUUUUUUGUUGACUUAAAAACGGAUCAAGGGCCAAAGUCUUUGGGCACAAGCGUUUCCUAUUAUACGUAUGUUCUAAUAAAAGACUUUCGGACAAGAACGAACUGAUUAUUUUGUGUUUCUGUUUUCCUCUUGGAAAAAGAUAUUAGGAAAUUUCUGUACCAUCCCAGAGCUCUUUGAAAUGAACCUCUAAAGUACUCUUCUGAGUUUAUCCUAAAAGGAACAAGUAUGAGAAAUUUCGGAUCUUUAUAUCUGAGCUGAAUUGAACAGCAUUAAUUAAGCUAAUCUCGGUUAGCUGGUGUUCUUCUUGUGCUUGGGUUGUCAACAAGAUUUGGUAAUUUUAAACUUGUGGUAAAAAAGUGUUGUAAGGUGAGUUUCCUCGUGAAAGAGAAUGUUCCAUACCUGCAACUUAAUUAUUUUAGGCCGUGGGCUAAGAGGCGUAAACGUUUAGGUGCGUACUCCAAAUCUCGGGACAAACGUAUCUUGAGUUAUUGUGAUACUUUCAAGAAAGCUGAUCACGAUUUUAAAUGUUACAAAAACCCAAAAUCCGCAGCUUUUUUAAAUUUUGACAAAAUGUGUUACUUUUCUACUCUCUUAUCGUUCACAUCCAAUGCCACCCUUUUACCAACAAUGAUGAUAUAAUUACUUUGCAGAACAUUGUCUUGCUAUAUAAAAUGGCUUGCGUCAAUGUUCUGUGGAAUGCGCUAACUCGUUCGGACAUAUGCACAAUGGCAAAGAUAUUUCAAAAAAGCGAAAAAUUGCCCUGGGAACGAGGUUGUGUUUUGUCAGCAGGCAACUACCACAUUCACUCUGAUCGAUAGCCGAGAGUGGAUAUAUCAGUUACUUCUAAAUACGGAUAUAUUUAUUCUAUUUUGCAAAAAUAGCAUAUUUUACUUUCUUUUUCUGACAAUUUUCUUCAAUAUUAUCUCGCAUGUCAAUGUCAAUUAGACAUCACUGCAACAAUAUAUUUUUAAUUUAUUAACGGAGUCAUUCCACAAAAAAAAAUUGAUUUACAGCUGUUCCUGGCGUGAAGGAUAUGAUGCAUGGCUAGAGACACUUCUGACUUUUCAUAUUUAUCUAUUAGACACCUGCAUGUGAAAUUCUUAGGUCCCAUACCUCUGGGAACCUUUAGCCAUUUCUCGAAAAUACCGCUUAAAAGUUCUUAUGAAAUCCUUAUAAUGGGGAACUUCCUUAGGAUUAUUCUUGGAACUUGAAAGUCACAACGCAAAUUUAUUUCGUUAAGAGGAAUCAUUUCGUGAAAAAAAUCUAAAAAACUUUUGUAUUUCGCAUCAAAUUAAUGACGUUGCAAUUGACCAUUUGGGACAUAGUUGGGUAGUCAGUUAGGAGUUGGAAACCAAUACUAUCCUCGCAGGCGUGAUAUUAAAUAGUUGAUGAACAUGGUUGAGAAACCAAUCUAGCGCAAUAUUCUCUCAAAAAAGUUGAAGUUAGACGUCGAGGCCAAUAUUUAUUAUUCCACCUUAUAUUCUUCUAUCAUUUCCAUCUAAAGAAAUUUAUUUUAUCUCAAAGACCUCUGGUGACGAGAAUGUGGUCAGAGAACUAGAAAACAAUACAACAAAACAUAUGAAGUAUUUAGUUUUUUCUUACAUGGAAUCCAUCGGGAUAUAUGGAUGUUAAAGGUCACACCCUGAACGAUCAACAGUGUGAGAAGUACCUGGCAAAUGCAAUGUGACAGGGUGUGUCUUUAUUUAUCCCCGUUAAUCAAAUUAAGAAACACGGAAAAGAUACAAAAUAUCUAAACGCUUUUAUUGGACAUAUACCAACAGACAAAAUACAGCUAUUAUUAUAGAGAAGGUGUUGAGGAGUGUAUUAAAUUCGUGUAGAACUUAUUUUUAGGCAGAUUUACAUUCGCACACCUUAUGGGAGCUAAGAAGUAGUUAAUUAAACACAGAAAAGGGUAUUUAAAAAAAACGAUAAUUUUAUCCCUUCUAUUUUCUACUUUAUUAUGAAUUUAUAUUACUCAACGACGGUUUCCAAUUCCAAUAAAGGAUCUUCAUUUUUGAGUGUUAGAGUAAGCUUUAAAAAGUUUGUUAUCCCUACUCGCUCCCAAACGUUUUUGACAACAGACUUCUGGUUUUGCAUGUGAUCAUGGAAUGGUGUAAUCCACUUGGUGUGAAGUGGUUUUAAAAAACUUAAUUUCAAACACAUCUAAACUUCUUCUGUUUUAAAUCUGUUUGUUGAUUUCGUCUGUGACACAUAUUGGAGCUGACAGGGCCUGAAUACCAACAAGGCUUUUCAAUUUUCAAUUAGUUGUAUUAGCGGUAGCGAAUAUUUUGAUGCCUUAACAGUUAAAGAGUUCGUACGCUUAUUAUACGGAAGCAGUAAAGAGCGUUGUAACGAAGCUACAGUAGAAUUCUUUCAACAAAGCACAUUACAAAAACAUACAAAGCGCGUAAGCUAUCAGGGUUAUAGUUAAAAAGGUGCCCCUGUUGUAAGAAAUCAUGACGAAAUCAAGAGAGAACGUGAAGAAACUAGUAUAGAUUAGAUGCAUACAGUUUGUGCUGAAGGAAUUAUUUAGCUGAGGAUGUAAAGUCGAAUAAAACAAAAAGGUGGUGCAAAUAUUUGAAAAAUUCGUGCACAACUAUAUGUAAAUGCAUAAGGGAAUGGAAAAGGUUAAUAACAGAGAAACAAGCAAAGAAGAUCGCAAUGAUGAUGAAGCCAGCUUAAGUGAUGUCAAUUUUUUUAUUGAUGAAUCGGACAUUAACGACUCAGACGCUGCCAGCCGACCAAUUUUAAUGUUCUUUUAACAGAAAAUAUCGAUAACACACGAUACAAUUUUUCCGAUAGCUCGUUUUACUUAUGAUUAAGCUACUUUCUGACUUGCGUUUUCUAGUCGAAAAGAAAAGGAACUACAGGAAAGGAGCACGCGAAAUUUAAAUGUUUUGAAACGUUUCUCGAUACGACUCGAUAAUUAUGUAUUUACCUAAUUUUAUCUAGUUUUUUACCGUUAUGCAAAAAAAUAAUAUGAGUUGGUACUUAUAUUGUGUUUAUAUGCAUAAAAUAAUUUAAACUAUAUAUUAAAAGAAAGACUUUAGAAAGUACACACACGAUAAAACACGAAACAAACGAUUGUUUUAUUUUUGAUGCUCAAUUUCUCGAAAACCGCGAGGUUAUCAGUUCUGUAACAUUUAUUUUUGAAUUCAGCAUGAUUAAUAUCAUAAAUUUAUAUAUAGAAACCUUUGUCCAGAAAUUUGGGGUACGCAAUUUUUUUAAGAGCUUUUAAGACGCAUUGGCCCACGGCCUAUUUCGGUUCCUCUCUGGGGUGCUAAACAAAAAUACUAAACAAGGCUCUGGGAGCAAGGUUAAGCUUGUGCUUCGUGUUCUCCAGAGAAUUUCGUGCAGUUGAUUACACAAAUUCUAAACAAACUAACAACCACGUGAUCCCGAUUUGAUUUUUUAAACUUGUCUUUCAGGUGAACAAGUCAAGAAUUUUAAAUAUUAUGAAGUAGUAACUCCGAUAGAAUUCACAUCUGGCAACCUUGAUGGCGAUGAAAAAUCUGCACCAAGCUCUAAGCAUAUUUAGAUUUAAUAUAAUCGUGAAUAAAGAUUAUGAAAAUUCUUCGCACAGUGUUUUUGUGGAAUACUUUGGGAAAAAUAAUUCUUAUGAAGGAAAAAUUGUGCACAAGGAAGAAUGCAUAUAUUCAGGAAGUGGCAAUACUUCUAAUAAUGUGACUGCUGAUGUCAUCCUUAAUGUUUGUAAAGGUUUGGAAGGCAUGAUUCGAAGUGAGUCUGAAACAAUAUUCAUUCAACCUGUGAAAAACAAUGAACUAUUUCCACUACAGCACAUUAUAUACAGAAGGAGAGAUGUUGUUACUAAAUAUACUAAAUUUAGUGACUAUGCUACAGAAAAACCUUUUCAAAAUAAAGUUAAAUCUCGUGUGAAAAGAAUUGUUUAUGACAGUUAUUUAAAAUUCAGGAAAAAUUACAAUCUUAAAUGUCUGCAAAACCGUUUGUAUUUGCCUUCUCACGAAUUUGCUAAAUGGAACAACAUUUGAUGGAAGACAGAUCCAAUUUUUUCCAGUGAAAAAAUAUUUGGCUUAGGUUUACUAAUGAAUGCGUUCUAAAAUAGGUAACAUUGUUUUUUAUUCUAACUUUUCUGUUGUACCACAGACUACUGUUCACUAUUUUAAACUACUACUUAAACUAACAUUUUUCUCUGUUUUGUUAUUUGUCAAUGCCACUUUCCUACUUUAAAUAAUAUUAAGUCAAGUGAAACCCAGUAUGUGCCGUUCCUGCCCAAUUAAUCAAGGUGUUCCUUCCUUUUAAUCCAAUGUCCCAUAUGCAUACAAUAUCUGACUGCUAAAAAGUGACAAUAUGUAACUGGUUUAGAAAGGUGACAUUUCAUGUUAUUCAUAUCGUACUAUUUACACUUAUCUCAACACUUUUGCUCAGGGGCGGAUUUAGCUAUGGUGUACUGGUGUAAAUACACCAGCAAAAAUUCUGCUCAAAAAAUUAAGGUGUAUCUCUGUGAGCCUUUUGCUCUCUGAUUUUUAUGCCCAUUAUUAAAAUAAACUAGAAUAACUGCCGCCCGCUGAUUUUCGGAGUCCCUCCCCCUGUUUGUGUUUUGUGGUCCUGUUUUUGUGUCAAUUUAGCCGAAUGCAGCUGUUUCAUCCUGCAAAAUUUUAUAUAUCAUAAUCGGUACCAGCUUCACUAUUUACACUAUUUCAACUGGUGUAAGCUGCACAUUCUUCUGGGCGAAAAAUAUCCUGGUGUAUUUCUCUGGUCUAGCCAACUGUUGUAAAAAAAAACUAUAUGACAUGACAAUCCAGGACAUAUAUUCAGAGUGUUAAAGUGGCGGAGUAGAUGUCAGAUAAACAACUGAAGUUAAUUGAAGAUUUGGAGCGAGAUGUAAAGCAACAUUUUUUGACAUGUAUUGGAGAAGUAUCAGAAUUGGGUGCAAGAGUUGGAUACCCUCAUGAUAUAGAUGACAUCCAUGAAAGUUUUUAUAAUGGGUUGAUUACCCCAGAAUAUACGAGCUAAUGUAUAACCAAUAUGUGGUCAAGAAUGGGUAAGGUGAAAAAAAUGUCAUUUGGGUUAUUUGAGCCAAAUCACUUUGUUUAUACGUCCAAUCACCAUGAAAAAAGACAAAACGUCAGCAACAAUGAAUUUAAUUGGCAAGGGUUUGAGAGUGCCAGUAAUGACAUGUUCCUGUGAGAGAUCUAUACCAACACUACGACUAGUAAAGAACAUAUUCAAAAAACUAAAUGACCCAGGAUUGAUUUAAUGGCUUGGUGUUGCUAAAUAUCCACGAAGAGAUAAAAAUAAAUUUAGAUGACGCAAUUCAUAUGCUGGCAAUAAAAUAUCCAAAAAGACUUAAAAUGUUAGAUAUCCUGAACGACGAUUAAAAGUGUAACAGUCUUGAUAAAAAAAGGAAUAUAUCUUGUAUAUUAUUA